AUUUCAUGAUGAGGACAUUGCCUUUCAAGCUCCUUAAAUCUCAUCCAAGAUUCAUAUGAAGUUUCAUCAUCCCUUGGCUUAAAAUGUAACACCCCUAUUUGCAUAG